rnacentral:rRNA from 1 species
AUGCAAGUCGCACGAGAAAGGGUAGCAAUACCUGAGUACAGUGGCGCACGGGUGAGUAACACGUGAAUCAUCUACCUUCGAGUGGGGAAUAACUGGGAGAAAUCUCAGCUAAUACCGCAUAAUACCUACGGGUCAAAGCAGCAAUGCGCUUGAAGAGGAGUUCGCGGCAGAUUAGUUAGUUGGCGGGGUAAUGGCCCACCAAGACGAUGAUCUGUAUCCGGCCUGAGAGGGCGCACGGACACACUGGAACUGAAACACGGUCCAGACUCCUACGGGAGGCAGCAGUGGGGAAUUUUGCGCAAUGGGGGAAACCCUGACGCAGCAACGCCGCGUGGAGGAUGAAAUCCCUUGGGAUGUAAACUCCUUUCGAUUGGGAAGAUUAUGACGGUACCAAUAGAAGAAGCCCCGGCUAACUUCGUGCCAGCAGCCGCGGUAAUACGAGGGGGGCAAGCGUUGUUCGGAAUUAUUGGGCGUAAAGGGCGCGUAGGCGGUUUGACAAGUCUUAUGUGAAAUCUCUGGGCUCAACCCAGAGUCUGCAUGGGAAACUGUCGGGCUUGAGUAUGGGAGAGGUGAGUGGAAUUUCCGGUGUAGCGGUGAAAUGCGUAGAUAUCGGAAGGAACACCUGUGGCGAAAGCGGCUCACUGGACCAUAACUGACGCUGAGGCGCGAA